rnacentral:rRNA from 1 species
GGGGAUAACAGUUAGAAAUGACUGCUAAUACCGCAUAAGCGCACAGGACCGCAUGGUCCGGUGUGAAAAACUCCGGUGGUAUGAGAUGGACCCGCGUCUGAUUAGUUAGUUGGCGGGGUAGCGGCCCACCAAGACGACGAUCAGUAGCCGACCUGAGAGGGUGACCGGCCACAUUGGGACUGAGACACGGCCCAAACUCCUACGGGAGGCAGCAGUGGGGAAUAUUGCACAAUGGGGGAAACCCUGAUGCAGCGAUGCCGCGUGAGUGAAGAAGUAUUUCGGUAUGUAAAGCUCUAUCAGCAGGGAAGAAGUUGACGGUACCUGAGUAAGAAGCCCCGGCUAACUACGUGCCAGCAGCCGCGGUAAUACGUAGGGGGCAAGCGUUAUCCGGAUUUACUGGGUGUAAAGGGAGCGUAGACGGCAGUGCAAGUCUGAAGUGAAAGCCCCGGGCUUAACCCGGGAACUGCUUUGGAAACUGUACGGCUGGAGUGCUGGAGAGGUAAGCGGAAUUCCUAGUGUAGCGGUGAAAUGCGUAGAUAUUAGGAGGAACACCAGUGGCGAAGGCGGCUUACUGGACAGUAACUGACGUUGAGGCUCGAAAGCGUGGGGAGCAAACAGGAUUAGAUACCCUGGUAGUCCACGCCGUAAACG